UUUUUUAAAUUGCUGUGGUAUUUUGACUAUACGAAGGUAUUGAAAUAAGAUUUUAAAUGAGUGCUAAGAGAAUGAUUAAACAAUUAAAAGCUUUCUUUAAUUGAAUAAUUGAAUUUAAUUUUUUAGUGCAAAAGCAAAAAUAAAAAUUAGGGACAAGAAGACCCUAUGAAUUUUUUAUUAAAUUUUAUAAAACUUUAUAUAAAAUUUAAUUUAAUUGGGGUGAUGGAAAAAGAAUAAAUAUCUUUUUUUUAAAAAAAAAUUGGUUCCGUUUUUAGCGAUUAAAUGAAAAAAAUACUCUA
rnacentral:rRNA from 1 species